UUUAAAUACAAUCAUAAUUUUCUGUGCCCAACUUUAAUUAUCCAUCUUAUUUAAAGUUGUUUAUAAUUAGUAUUUUUAUUGUUAUGAGAUGAUAAAAUAUGAAUAGUACAUGUUUUUUUUAAAAAGAAUAAAUGAGACGAAUGGUUAAAUGGUUAAAGUUGUGCACGGAAAAUCAUAGUUACAUUUAAA
rnacentral:pre_miRNA from 1 species